ensembl:snoRNA
GGGGUGUGCUCAGUGCAGGGCUUCUGAAGAAAUGGCUCCUCUGUUUACAACACACCCAGCAGGAAUCUGGGUUCAUUGUGACAAGGGGCACAAAGCUUGGGGCCUUCCUAUGAACAAAUACCUACAUGU